rnacentral:misc_RNA from 1 species
AGGUGAACCUGCGGAAGGAUCAUUAGCACAAUAGCCGCCCAUUAUGCAGACUAUAUCCAUCCUUGUGUUGUGUUGACGUUGCGUGUGUCCUCUCCGAGAGAGAGAGGGCAUUUGCAUUUUUAUACUCUUUUUUAUAUUGUCUGAUACAAUUGCUCUCGCAAGAGCACACAAACAACCGAAAACUGCCAGCAAUGGAUCACUCGGUUCUCG